ACUCCUACGGGAGGCAGCAGUGGGAAUAUUGGACAAUGGGGGCAACCCUGAUCCAGCAAUGCCGCGUGUGUGAAGAAGGCCUUGCGGGUUGUAAAGCACUUUCGUUGGGGAGGAUGGUGCGCAGUUCAAAUAGGGCUGCGUAUUGACGUUACCCAAAGAAGAAGCACCGGCUAACUCUGUGCCAGCAGCCGCGGGUAAUACAGAGGGUGCAAGCGUUAAUCGGACUGACUGGGCGUAAAGGGUCGUGUAGGCGGCCCGUUAAGUCCGGGUNUGAAAUGGCAGGGCUUUAAACCUUGUCAGGUCACUCGAGAGCUGGCGAGUCUAGAGAGCAGGAGAGGAAAGGGGAAUUUCCGGUGUAGCGGUGAAAUGCGUAGAUAUCGGCAAGGAACACCAGUGGCGAAGGCGCCUUUACUGGCCUACCGUCUGACGCUGAGGCGCGAAAGCGU
rnacentral:rRNA from 1 species